GCUUAUGGCCAUACCACCCUGAGAACGCCCGAUCUCGUCUGAUCUCGAAAGCUAAGCAGAGUCGGGCCUGGUUAGUAUUUGGAUGGGAGACCGCCUGGGAAUACCAGGUGCUGUAAGCU
rnacentral:rRNA from 1 species